UGCCGAGGUGGCCGACGCGGCGCGGACGGCGACGCCGUCGUCGUGGAGCCAGCAGGUGUCACUGCUGCAGAUCGCUUCCGCGCUGCGGUGGCC
rnacentral:tRNA from 1 species